ACGGGGGGGGCAAGCGUUGUCCGGAAUUACUGGGCGUAAAGGGCUCGUAGGUGGCCAACUAAGUCAGACGUGAAAUCCCUCGGCUUAACCGGGGAACUGCGUCUGAUACUGGAUGGCUUGAGUUCGGGAGAGGGAUGCGGAAUUCCAGGUGGAGCGGUGAAAUGCGUUGAUAUCAGAAGGAACGCCGGUGGCGAAAGCGACGUGCUGGACCUCUUCUGACGCUGAGGCGCGAAAGCUAGGGGAGCAAACGGGA
rnacentral:rRNA from 1 species